rfam:Dipodomys ordii contig_33659, whole genome shotgun sequence.
GGAAACGUGGCUUAGUGGUAGAGUGCUUGCCUAGCAUGCAUGAAGCCCUGGGUUCGAUUCCUCAGUACCA